UGGUGGGGAGGCGCGGAAAUCAGCCGUGGAAGGAAUCGAGAGGUUAGAGACGAGGGAUCAACGGAUGGCUCGCCUGUUUCGCUAAGAAGAUAAGGUUGGGCAGGGCCCACAACGACGCGUGGCGUGCGGAGCGGGCGGUUUAUGUGAGUUGUGUUAUCAGCCGGUUGACACAAAGAGAUUUCCCCAACAAAUCCCUCCUCCUUUCUCCGUGGUGGCCCCCACUCCCGCUGCCGCCUUGGCCCGCGCCCCGUCGCCACCACCUCCACCUCCGCGCCUCUGCGGCCAACAUCUCUUCCUGCCGCCCCGACAAGAUGCCACCACCACCUCCCGCUGCUGCGGCCGCACACCACCACUCCCGGCAUGGUCAACGCCUCCAUUAGACUACCUUCCCGCCCCCAAGCGCCGCCUUGAAGUAGCCCCCACCCCUAACCGUCGAUAAGCUCAGGGGCCUGCCUCUUCCCGCUGCCCCGGCGAGGGACGGAGCUCGUCGCUCCCGGAGGCUGCCCUCCUCCCCGGUGGUGAACCCGGCGAGAUAUGGACCUCAUUGUGAUGCGGAUCUGGAUUCGGGGUCGUCUGUGUCGUCCCGGAUGUACCCGAUGGCCACCAUGCACCGGCCGUCGUGCGCCUACAUCCAGUCGGCUCCGUGCGUCCUGUUCCUGCCCAAGCUCGUCCUCCCGUGACUCCCUUUGUGGAGACUUUUUUGACCCAAUCGCUGGUCCGGCGACUCCCAACUGGCGGGCUGACUCCGACGGUCCGACGAGCCCCUCUACUGAGAAUAAAAUCGAUUGGCCCCUGUGCUUGGAGGUGAGCGUGUGCUUGGCCAUGGCAGCGACAGCACGGCCGACGGCGGCGGCUAGAAUGUGCACCUCAUUUCCUUUUGAUGAUUAGCAACCAAACACCCAAUCCAGAAGGUUGAAGCAGUGCAGCGUCUGAUAUCGUGUCCUGAACUUCUGCUUCUGCUUCAGUACUUGUAGUACUAGGUGUAGAUAUAUAUAGGCGUCAGGAAGGUUUUUGUUCACAGCCAAAGUUUUGCUAAGUUAUAUAUGCAUCGUCAGGUACAUGUGGGCACGUUAAAGUACAUGUAAGUGAAGAUACUGUAAAAAUGGAACAAUUCUGCUUAGUUCGGCCUCCUGCCGUCCUGCGAUGCAAUUGCAACAAAAUGCAGGACGAGUCGUGUGGCCAGACACCCGUUGUUUUGCGUCCUAACUCUCCUGCUUUCCUGUAUUUAGACUUGCUUAGAGCCAGGAACAUGUCACUGUUACAAAUC